AUGCCGCCGCCGGUGCUGCCGGACGAGCUCCUCGAGGAGGUCUUCUUCCGCCUCCCGCCGGACGAGCCCGAGCAUCUCCUGUGCGCCUCCCUCGUCAGCAAGGUCUGGCUCGGCCUCCUCUCUGCCCCUCGCUUCCGUGCUCGCUACCGCGACUUCCAUGGAGCUCCCCCAAUGCUAGGUUUCCUGUGUUCCCUUCGAUCGAACUCCGUCCAUGAGGCGGAAGACAACAUCCCACACUUCCUUCCCACCACGAAAUUCCGCGCGCGCAUACCCGACGACGACUGGGGGUGCUGGGGCUACACUGCGUGGGACUGCCGCCAUGGCCGCGUUCUCCUCGGCGACCAGUCUUACCAACCCGUCCCGCUCGUCGUUUGGGACCCCAUGACGGGCUGCCGGAGGGAGCUGGACUCGCCCGACCAGUUGCGCAGAAGCUAUGGGGCAGCGGUGUUCUGCGCCGUGGCCGGCUGUGACCACCGUGCGUGCCAUGCAGGCCCCUUCCAGGUGCUCUACAUCGGUGUGGACACGAUUGAAGAUGGUGAAUAUGUUGCGCGCGCGUGCUUGUCCUUGCCGGUGACCGGUGAUUGGAGCAAGCCAUGCUCUGGUUCUCGUUUUAAUAAGUGGAACGAGCCGUGCUCAGCUCUUCAUCUUGGACCCAUUGCAUUUUGGGACGAACUGUCCCCUGUCUUCGUCCAAGACGCACUGCACUUCAAGCUCGUGUAUUACCUAGAUAAUCACAUAGCAAUUCUUAAGUAUGACUUGGGAUCUAACUGCUUAUCAUUGAUUGAUGCGCCGUUGGCGGGGUCUAUCCUUCUCAAUGCCUCUAUCCUCGUGGCGAUGGAGGAUGGCAGAUUGGGGUUUGCGAAUGUGGACAUGUUGACCAUCCACUUGUGGUCAAGACAAAGGGGUUCCGAUGGAAUUGCGUCAUGGACUCAGCGUACAGUCAUCAAUAUUAAUAACCUUCUCCCCAUUCAUAAUCCCAAUAAGAUUCUUAGACUGAUUGGGUCUGUGGAGGGCAGAGAUAUCAUUUUCGUGGCCAUGGGCCUUGACAUCUACGGGAUUAAUCUCAAGACAUUACGGUGGAAGAAGCUACAGAAGAGAAAAAAGCUUUGUGGUUUGAUUCUGUACAUGAGUUUCUACAAUCCACAAGAAAGAGUGAUCCCCGGUGAUGCGGCGCAUUGA
rnacentral:rRNA from 1 species